rnacentral:misc_RNA from 1 species
UAGUUAUGGCACGGUACCUAUAAACCACAAAAGAUAAGUUCCAAAUAACUAUGAGAAGUAGAAGGGAAGCCAAUGGGUGAUUAAUGCAUUCGAGCAUUUAGUGGCAAAAAGCAAAACGGCAUCACAUGUGACAGAACUAUCUGAGAAAUUACAUGGAGACAUCAGCGAGUAAAAUGACUUGGGAUCCAAGAAAAAAUCCAUUUACUGCACCAUAUCUAAAAAUAAAGAUUGAAUGGUGCAUGCCCAAGAGUCUCACAGGUAAGAUCUGAAUUGCAAUAUCAAAUUAUUGACAGUUACCCAAAAGAUCAUAUCUCAUAAAGCGGUAAAUUGGUACCUGGAAAGCAUUCAAAUUAGCAUUUAAAUUCAUCCAGUCAAAUUUAGUCAAAUUUUGUUAGGUCCACACGCCUUUUCUCGUCAGUUGAAGUAAUUUGGCUCAGAACCCCCUAAAAUCAUUCUCAAACUUCCGAAACAGCACGGUAAUUAUGAUAACACCAUCAUUUAUAAUUAUGCUUAAAAUGGUCCAUUAAAUCAUACAAGAUGCACUUGAAUUAUGAGUACCAUUGGAGGAUUUAAGGAAUUUGAAUUAAGAAUCUACCUUGCAAGAUUAUUGGAAUUCUUUUAACCAGUUAUAUUCAAAAGUCAGAAUUCAAGAAGAUCAAGCGUUGGAUUUUUUUCUCUCUGGACUAGUUGAUGAGUUGCAAUUGGCAGUGGGAAUGUUUAAGCCAAAAACACUUGCAGAUGCUUACAUUCUGGCUAAGUUGCAGGAGCUAACUGUAGCAACAAUUCACAAUAAGUCCAAACAAUCUACUAAACCCACUACCUUUGUUAAGGCUGAAACUGAAGUUCUGAAGUUUGAGGAAGCUGGGAAAAUUAGCAGCCUUUCACUAGAUUCCAAUUCUACUGAUGGGAAAAUCUCAUCUGAUCAGUUUGACCACCUCUUGUACUCUGCUUCAAUUGCUCU